ACACUUGACAGCACCUCGGUCUUCGGAGUAUGUACGUCGCAUGGUCGUAAUCCGGGAAACUGGAUUGCAUGCAGGACGCGGGGGCGGAACCCGCCGCCUCCACCAUAACCACACUGGCCCGCGUUUGGGGUUAGAUAUCACGCCUGUGGGCGUCACUGGCAACGGCCGCGCCUUCCACAAGACGGCAGCGCUCAGUGUGGUUAUGAUGGGGGCGAAAUAGGAUCGACUGCUGUGAGCAAGGGGACACGCGACCCGGUGAGGUACACCGUUAUCGUCCGAACCUAGAAACUGUCGCAAACGACAAUUUCCCUGUGGCCAACCGCCUCGCGGCGUAACCCACUGGGCAUCCCCGGCCUGUAAACAGAACAGGGGAAGA
rnacentral:tmRNA from 1 species